UACAGAGGGUGCGAGCGUUAAUCGGAAUUACUGGGCGUAAAGCGCGCGUAGGCGGCUUUUCAAGUCGAUUGUGAAAUCCCCAGGCUCAACCUGGGAACUGCAUCCGAUACUGGAUGGCUUGAAUUCGGGAGAGGGAUGCAGAAUUCCAGGUGUAGCGGUGAAAUGCGUAGAUAUCUGGAGGAAUACCGGUGGCGAAGGCGGCAUCCUGGACCGACAUUGACGCUGAGGAGCGAAAGCCAGGGGAGCAAACGGG
rnacentral:rRNA from 1 species